GAGGGUAUAGCUCAGUGGUAGAGUGCAUGCAUAGCAUGCACUCAAGGUCCUGGGUUCAAUCCCCAGUACAAUCA
rnacentral:tRNA from 1 species